AUUGAACGCUGGCGGCAGGCUUAACACAUGCAAGUCGAGCGGAGUGAUGGUGCUUGCACUAUCACUUAGCGGCGGACGGGUGAGUAAUGCUUAGGAAUCUGCCUAUUAGUGGGGGACAACAUCUCGAAAGGGAUGCUAAUACCGCAUACGUCCUACGGGAGAAAGCAGGGGAUCACUUGUGACCUUGCGCUAAUAGAUGAGCCUAAGUCGGAUUAGCUAGUUGGUGGGGUAAAGGCCUACCAAGGCGACGAUCUGUAGCGGGUCUGAGAGGAUGAUCCGCCACACGGGGACUGAGACACGGCCCAGAAUCCUACGGGAGGCAGCAGUGGGGAAUAUUGGACAAUGGGGGGAACCCUGAUCCAGCCAUGCCGCGUGUGUGAAGAAGGCCUUAUGGUUGUAAAGCACUUUAAGCGAGGAGGAGGCUCUUUUGGUUAAUACCCAAGAUGAGUGGACGUUACUCGCAGAAUAAGCACCGGCUAACUCUGUGCCAGCCGCCGCAGUAA
rnacentral:rRNA from 1 species